GGAGAGGUGGCCGAGAGGUUUAAGGCGGUGGUCUCGAAAACCACUAUACCUACAAUGGUAUCAGGAGUUCGAAUCUCCUCCUCUCCGCCA
rnacentral:tRNA from 1 species